AGAAAUACUGGCAUUUACAAAGUCACAGUGAUCAUGCAAGUGGGGGACUCAGCAUCUGGAAGCGGCCCCUGAAAUGAAACCGCAUGCAGGGUAGCUGACAUUCAAAGCCUGGGCGCAUUCUUUCACGACGUUGCUACUCUGACAGCUCAACACAUUCGCGAUGGGAACUCAUAUCUGUUUUGAUGAGGGAGACCAGAGGGAAAAGAGCAUUCACGUACAGAAAUACCCUUUGUGGCUACUUCUGUCAGCUCCUGUCCUCACAGGGCCAGGGCCUACCUGGGGGAGAGACGACAGGGCUCAGUAAUUCCAAGAGCGGACAUGCGCGAGAUGCGUCUCCAAGAAUGUUCUCCCCUGCAUGGUCUGGCAGGGGACGUUGGAAACAACCUAAACGUCCAGCAAUAGGGGACAACAGAUUGUAUCACUCAGAUGUGCUGGUGUCAAAGGCUGUGCUAGGAUAUUUAAUCCCAAGGAAAGUGUUUACAACUGAGUUGGUGGAAAGGAGGUUACAAUUCAAAUGAUUUUUUUUUAAGAUACAUACAUACUUUUUUUAUUAUUAUUUAUUUUUCAGUAUCACUCUGUUGCCCAGGUUGGAGUGCAGCGGUGUGAUCUUGGCUCACUGCAACCUCCGCUCCCUGGGUUCAAGCGAUCCUUCCACCUCAGCCUCCACAGCAGCUGGGACUGCAAGCAUGCGCCACCACACCCAGCUAAUUUUUGUAUUUUUAGUAGAGAUGGGGUUUCACCAUGUUGGCCAGGCUGGUCUUGAACUCCUGACCUCAGGUGAUCCACCCACCUUGGCCUCCCAAAGUGCUGGGAUUACAGGAGUGAGCCACCGCACCCAGCUGAAUCUCAUUUUUCAAGAUGAAAAGAGUUCUGGAGAUGGAUGGUGGCGGUGAUCCACACAGCUUUAUGAAUGUAUUAAUUCCUCUGAACUGUACAUUUAGAAAUGGUUAGGAU
rnacentral:lncRNA from 10 species